UAAAACAAAAACAUUUACUGGUAAUAUUUUCCUCAUAGAAAAUUCACCCCUAUUUAGUUAACAGACUAACAGGAGAAUCCACAGCAGUUUAGAGUUGCUUCCAUGUGUUCCUAGGAACGAGAAACCAUGACAGAGCACGGCCUCAGCCGGGAGUCUUCUGCAUUUUCUUAUCUGCAAUGAGGAGAAACUUUGAAAAAUAUGGCUUCUACCCACAUUCAAAAAGCAGAUCAAGACUCUACUGCUUUGUCCGGAUGAGACCCAGAUUCAAAGAGAAGUGAAGUGAAGAUGGUGCUUCUCCUGCUGUCUCCUGAGUGAGUUGACUGCCUGGGCUUGGGAUAAAAAGACGUAAAAUCAAAACGCAGCUCUCGGGGGCUUCCCUGGUGGCGCAGUGGUUGAGGGUCCGCCUGCCGAUGCAGGGGACACGGGUUCGUGCCCCGGUCCGGGAGGAUCCCACAUGCCGCGGAGCAGCUAGGCCCGUGAGCCACGGCCGCUGAGCCUGCGCGUCCGGAGCCUGUGCUCCGCAACGGGAGAGGCCACAACAGUGAGAGGCGCGAGUACUGAAAAAAAAAACAAAAAAACCCGCAGCUCUCCUGCUC
rnacentral:lncRNA from 1 species